GAUGAACGCUGGCGGCGUGCCUAAUACAUGCAAGUCGAGCGAACAGACGAGGAGCUUGCUCCUUUGACGUUAGCGGCGGACGGGUGAGUAACACGUGGGUAACCUACCUAUAAGACUGGGAUAACUUCGGGAAACCGGAGCUAAUACCGGAUAAUAUUUCGAACCGCAUGGUUCGAUAGUGAAAGAUGGCUUUGCUAUCACUUAUAGAUGGACCUGCGCCGUAUUAGCUAGUUGGUAAGGUAACGGCUUACCAAGGCAACGAUACGUAGCCGACCUGAGAGGGUGAGCGGCCACACUGGAACUGAGACACGGUCCAGACUCCUACGGGAGGCAGCAGUAGGGAAUCUUCCGCAAUGGGCGAAAGCCUGACGGAGCAACGCCGCGUGAGUGAUGAAGGUCUUCGGAUCGUAAAACUCUGUUAUUAGGGAAGAACAAACGUGUAAGUAACUGUGCACGUCUUGACGGUACCUAAUCAGAAAGCCACGGCUAACUACGUG
rnacentral:rRNA from 1 species